AGUUAAUGAACUUGAUAUAAGUAUAUAUUUUGAAAAUAUAAUAAAGAAGAAUUUAUCCUUCUAUUAACUU
rnacentral:tRNA from 1 species